rnacentral:pre_miRNA from 1 species
AGCUUUUUGAAGCCGUGUAGAGAUUUCGUCAGACACCGAUCAAUUAUGGAUGAUCAGACUUCCAAGGUUAGUGAGGUU